rnacentral:lncRNA from 1 species
UUUUAUUUAUAUAAAUAUGUUGUAUGUGUAAACCAAAUUUAUUUAUACCUGCAUAUACACAAGUUUAAGGUGGGAAACUCCCUCUUUUUCAUUAAUAUGUUUUAUACACCCCACUCUUUUGAUGUCUAUCUGCAAAGGAGGUCAAGGUAUUUUUCUUUGAAUGUUAACAAAAAUAUCAGCCUUCCCAUCAUUUGAGUUGUUUAAUGGUAUUUCUAUUAUUUAUUUUUUAAUGAAUUACAAAUAUGGUUUUACACAAAUUUGUUUAUAAUGUAGUAAAAAGAUUUUCAAUCUCAUGGAGAAUGUUGUUACAUUUGUAUAACUAAUUAUCUGCAUGUAUUGUUAUAUUUGAUUUCAUACUUAUUCUUAAUUAAGAUAAAGAAUGUAUCUUUGUACAAAAUUUGUAUGACAAUAGGUUGUGUUGUAUAAUUACCCUUUUUAAGGAAAGGUAGAAAAGGGGGGACAACUCACACUUUGUAUGUCCAAAAGGUUGACAGGUAUGAAUAUUCAUGAUUUGUUUCAGAUCACUCUGAUUGAAUGAAUUGUGUGAUUUUUAUUAUAUAAUUUAUGUCAAAAUGAAUUAAAAAAAAAAAAUGUUAAAACCAA